GAUGAACGCUGGCGGCGUGCCUAAUACAUGCAAGUCGAGCGAAUGGAUUAAGAGCUUGCUCUUAUGAAGUUAGCGGCGGACGGGUGAGUAACACGUGGGAAACCUGCCCAUAAGACUGGGAUAACUCCGGGAAACCGGGGCUAAUACCGGAUAACAUUUUGAACAGCAUGGUUCGAAAUUGAACGGCGUCUUCGGCUGUCACUUAUGGAUGGACCCGCGUCGCAUUAGCUAGUUGGUGAGGUAACGGCUCACCAAGGCAACGAUGCGUAGCCGACCUGGGAGUGUGAUCGGCCACACUGGGACUGAGACACGGCCCAGACUCCUACGGGAGGCAGCAGUAGGGAAUCUUCCGCAAUGGACGAAAGUCUGACGGAGCAACGCCGCGUGAGUGAUGAAGGCUUUCGGGUCGUAAAACUCUGUUGUUAGGGAAGAACAAGUGCCAGUUGAAUAAGCUGGCACCUUGACGGUACCUAACCAGAAAGCCACGGCUAACUACGUGCCAGCCGCCGCGUUAA
rnacentral:rRNA from 1 species